UACAUAGGUGGCGAACGUUAUCCGGAAUUAUUGGGCGUAAAGGAUGCGUAGAUGGUGUAAUAAGUUAGUGGUGGUAAAUCGAGGCUCAACCUCGUGGAAGUCACUAAUACUGUUAUGCUCGAGUGCAGAAGAGGUUAACGGAACUCCCUGUGGAGCGGUGAAAUGCGAUAGAUAUAGGGAAGAACACCAAUAACGGCGAAGGCAGUUAACUAUUCUGUUACUGACAUUGAGGCAUGAAAGCGUGGGGAGCAAAAAGG
rnacentral:rRNA from 1 species